UACGUAGGGGGCAAGCGUUGUCCGGAAUUACUGGGCGUAAAGAGCGUGUAGGCGGGAAUUUAAGUCAGAUGUGAAACCUUGGGGCUCAACCGCAAGCAUGCAUCUGAUACUGGAUUUCUUGAGGGUAUGAGAGGAAAACGGUAUUCCUAGUGUAGCGGUGAAAUGCGUAGAUAUUAGGAGGAACACCAGUGGCGAAGGCGGUUUUCUGGCAUACAACUGACGCUGAGACGCGAAAGCGUGGGGAGCAAACAGG
rnacentral:rRNA from 1 species